GUGGGCCGUCAGCAUCGGGCUUCGGUACUUGAAGAGUGGUUAUCCCUGCUGUGUUCGCUUUAUUUAUGACGAAUCAUACAGGGACAUCCAGUUUUUCAGUAUCAAAUACUGCUUUGGAGGGCCUCC
rnacentral:pre_miRNA from 1 species